UGCACCUUUCAAGUGAGUGGCGAACGGCUGAUUAACACGUGGACAACCUGCCUCAAGGCUGGGGAUAACAUUUGGAAACAGAUGCUAAUACCGAAUAAAACUUAGUGUCGCAUGACACAAAGUUAAAAGGCGCUUCGGCGUCACCUAGAGAUGGAUCCGCGGUGCAUUAGUUAGUUGGUGGGGUAAAGGCCUACCAAGACAAUGAUGCAUAGCCGAGUUGAGAGACUGAUCGGCCACAUUGGGACUGAGACACGGCCCAAACUCCUACGGGAGGCUGCAGUAGGGAAUCUUCCACAAUGGGCGAAAGCCUGAUGGAGCAACGCCGCGUGUGUGAUGAAGGCUUUCGGGUCGUAAAGCACUGUUGUAUGGGAAGAACAGCUAGAAUAGGAAAUGAUUUUAGUUUGACGGUACCAUACCAGAAAGGGACGGCUAAAUACGUGCCAGCAGCCGCGGUAAUACGUAUGUCCCGAGCGUUAUCCGGAUUUAUUGGGCGUAAAGCGAGCGCAGACGGUUUAUUAAGUCUGAUGUGAAAGCCCGGAGCUCAACUCCGGAAUGGCAUUGGAAACUGGUUAACUUGAGUGCAGUAGAGGUAAGUGGAACUCCAUGUGUAGCGGUGGAAUGCGUAGAUAUAUGGAAGAACACCAGUGGCGAAGGCGGCUUACUGGACUGCAACUGACGUUGAGGCUCGAAAGUGUGGGUAGCAAACAGGAUUAGAUACCCUGGUAGUCCACACCGUAAACGAUGAACACUAGGUGUUAGGAGGUUUCCGCCUCUUAGUGCCGAAGCUAACGCAUUAAGUGUUCCG
rnacentral:rRNA from 1 species